AAUACGUUCCCGGACCUUGCACACACCGCCCGUCAAGCCAUGGAAGCUGGGUGUACCUAAAGUCGGUAACCGCAAGGAGCUGCCUAGGGUAAAACUGGUAACUGGGGCU
rnacentral:rRNA from 1 species